GGCUGGUGCUGCCGCGUGUGAGCUUAUCUUCUCUCUUGCUUUCGCGUUGAGUUUGUUGGUUUCUUUUCAUGUGACUCUUGCUAUUUGUGGUAGGCCAACUUCAGUUUCAGUUUCAGAUUUUGUCAGCACCGCUUUGACCUCUUCUUGCCUCUGUUCGUUCUAGAAAAUUGCCGUCGAGUCCCACGCGCCACGUCGUGGAACUGCCGGCUCUCCUCCCCUCGUGUCGCCUCCUUCUCCUGCAGGACCGCAUAACCGGCGCCACCUCCUUGCCUCGCGGGGAUCCCGUCAAGAACGGGGCGGCUUCACCACGGGCAGGCAAGCCCAAGCCCGCCGGUGCCACGGGCAACUCCGUCGCCGGCAGCUCCCCUACUCGAGGUCCUCAAGGCUAGCAGGCGAGCGGCAGAGAGAGGGGAAGGCCGCGGCAGCAGCAAAAUCCUAGGCGGUGCGGCGCCCGAGAGAGUGCGGGAUCGUCAUCUAUGGUAUUUCUAUCCCUCGACCUCCAUCGGUUUGCCUCAUGCCUGUGCCCGAGACUCCUGCCCUGGUCUCCUCCCCGAUCUAAUCACCUGUGUCGGCGGGCGGCAAGAAACGCGGGAGGCCUCGCGGACAUCUUCGAUGCCGUUGCUGCGGUGGCUGCAGCGCCAGGGCCAGUGCGCGGAAGAGGUCGGGCAGGCCGUCGCCAGGGCACAAGGCGACGUCAAGCAGUGCCUUGGACACGUGAUGGAACGGCAUCGCGGCUGCGAGGAGUCAUCGGAUGAGACUGAUGUGGUGCCGUGCUGGCCAGCAGCAGCGUGGGAAGCAGUUAGAGCUGGCCAGAAUCGUCAUGUGGGCGUUGGUGCUUUGUGCCUUUGUCCGUGGAGUAGAGGGAGAGGGAUAGGGUCGCCUCACCUCUGCCCCGCUGAGACUCUGCUCCUGCGUUGAGCGGCUGCGGUUUACGGGCGCCUCAAGGGCACAAGCGGGCACGAGCAGAUGCGACGGGAGUUUAUGGCGGCGAUUCAAUGGUAUGGGACAGCGAUGUGUAGGAAGGCCCAAGUUGCUGGUCGUAGCGGUCGGUAGCGACUAGCGAGCUAGCGGCCGUGGAGUGCGGCGGCAGGGAGCCAGCGACCAUGGAGUGCGGCAGCAAAGGAUGCAAAGCACUACAGCAGUGCCUGUAGUGGAUGCGGCAUCGAUGGCUUUAGGGAGCGCAGGAACUGUUUGAGGACUGGCCUCCUCUCCUUUUUCCUGUGCAACCACUACAACUUCAGGUUCAAACGAAUUUCAUGGUAGCACCUUUCCUACCUUUGAUUUUCCUCCCGAGUAUAUUUUAUAUAUUGUUCACAGUUCACAGUUCAUGCAUCGAUCGAGCCACAAUUUAUUUAUCAGCCACUUGGUUCUGUUUUGAUUAGAAUGUGUAAUUGGGCAGUUUCGUGGUCUACUUUCUGAUCAGCUGAUGUAUAAUGUAUGAUGAUUGAUGUAGAUGUAUGCUUUGCUGUGUCGUUCCUCGAUUUGAAGAUUGAUAUACAUUCCCCCUUCUGAACACAAUUAAGCAUGUUAUUGGACUUGGGUGUAGGAGCUCCUCCAGAUGUAGAAGAAGCGCAGCGUCUCCACCGAGAGAUUCACUGAGGAAAUAACACUCAAUUAUCUCUGCAGGUAGGAUCAAGAUCAGAGGGAUGGAAGGAUCUCUUCUGAAAGAUGUAUCCCUUCCCUCCUGUCCUAAUUUGUGCGGCUGUCUAGGAUAUGGGAAUUCAGGAGCACUGAUGCUGGCGCAUUAUAUGAGCUUGAUUUUGUUGUGGUCGACCCAUCUGGUAGACAGUAUAUUGUUGCCAUAUAAAUUCUCACUUUCAGUUUCACCACAUUACAGAACAAGUGAUGUAAAAAGAACCCUCCAAGUAGCUAGCCUAUUUCUCUAUUACGAUCAGCUCAUAGUGCCACCAUCAGGUUGUAUCUAUUUUCUCCGGAAUGCAACUUGGUUUGCUCGCAUAAGAAAUUGUCUCUAAUAAUUGUUAAUUACUUCUUUCUCUCAUGCCCGUUUCCUUACUUUUCUAAUAUUCAGUUCGUGCAUUACAUUCCUUAUUCUUCAUCUCGAGUUAUUCAGCCCACAUUUGUCUGGUCCAAGUACAAACUGUGUGUUCGAAUCAUUCUACAAAAUCUGUGAAGAAAAUGCAUGGCAUUUUAGCUUCCAUAUGGCGUUUCUUUUCCUUUUGUUUGAUUAGUUCAAGCUUUUGGUAUAGCUACAGAAUAUUUGGUGUAAUUUUGCAUGGAUAUAUUCUUUCACAAUAUUCUGUAGCUAUACCAUGCAAUUUUCUAUUGUGAUCUUAUUAUACUAAAUUCUUCUUCCAUGAGUUUAUCAACUGAUGUCUCUAUAUUUCAUUGGAAUGUCUAUGGUGCUUUGUUUUCCAGUUUUUUAUUUCAUUUUUGCAAACUAAAAUAGUUUACUGUGAUGCUUAGAUUGUACUAUAUCGGUUAACCAAGGUAGUUCAUCCAUUGUUAUACAUUUUAUCUACUGAACAUAUUACAAGAAAUCAGAGUUCAUAGUACAUCUUCUUAAUUUGCAAAUUGGUAAAACAGGAGUGAUAUAGAUCCAUUGGUAUUUACUUUCCCCUGCUCUCCCUGAAAGUAUCAACAACCAAUGUGUUGUUUUACAACAUCACAUGUUCGAACAUACACGCACAUUGGACCAUUGUCUUGCUCGAUAGGGGUGAUUGGGCAUUUUUCUGAUUACCUGUUCGACUAUUUCAUCUUAAUUCUAGAGAUCUUUCAAUUGCUUUAGUAUGUUAAAUGCUUUCUUUUCAGAUGUCUUUAAAUUUUUGGCAAUUUCUUGGUUAGUUUAUUUGUAAAUCAGUAAAGGUAAGUGGCCAUGUUGUUUAUUUAAGUAUUUUGUUUCAUCUCCUUGAUCUAGCCAUGUAGUUAAUCAAAUUUUUGCAAAACUAGGCUGUUUAGAAGCUUUUUGUACUGCAAUUGAAGAGGGCGUAUCUUUAGGUCUACCACGUUUUAACUUUCGUUUUGUUUUAUAGUCACUGGAUAAAGAUUCGUUCACCUACUGUAUAACAUUGAAAAUAACAAGUUAGUUUGUUUCCUGUGCAUCUGUGAACUAAUUAGUAUUUACUAUUUGACUCUUCAGCCUGUAGUUAAAAGGAAUUGAUUUAUUUUUGGUGUCAAACCAUGCACAUAUAUGUAGUCCAUGCACAGUUGGUUGACAUGGUAACCUCCUUUUAGGUACUACUACAAGAUGACAUCUGAAUGAGAUUCCUGCAUUCCCAUUUCUUUGGUUUCUUAUUAAAUAAUUUUCUAUGGAAUCUACAAGGCUGAAUAACAUGAUAAAUAUACUAUUUUGUAUUACGUCACAUCAAUGGUAAUAUCAAUCUGGCAAUACGAAAUAUACUAUUUCGUAUUGCGGUGUAUUGAAUUUUACUGAACCAUGUACUUGCAGCAAGGAAAAACUGGCCCCAGUUUUAUUAGCUUAUUAUUCUUUUUCGUACUAUGCAGAUAUGCUACAAGAAGAUGUGUUCUCCUAAUCAUUUUGUUCAGAUCCCGUAUAUGUUAACUUUCUAUUAUUUAAAUUUAGAAGAUAUCAAUGUUGAUUAUGGCUAGCUUUGAUUUUUUUCUUUUGGACAUAUACCAGCUUGAAGCUGUUACUAUCCAUACUACUCAGGAAUACCAUAACUGCCUCCAGAGAUAACAUAUGGUACGGUUAUGAUAUUAUUUCCAUAAGCAUGCACAUCCAGAUACUCUUGUUUUGACAAGUGCUGUUUUUCGGGUUCGUGAGGCUUCUGGACAAAGAUGGAUCCCAGCAGCAUCAGCUUUCGACCCAGAUGGCAUUAUCCUUGGAACAGACACACCUGAAGCUGUUGUCAAAAUUUGGGAUGUAAAAUGUCAGUAAAGGAGGCGAUCCAAGAUUUAAUUGAGUCAGAGAAUGAGAUUACGGAGGGCUAAGAACACAAAGUGGAGGAGCUCAACUGCUCGGGCCUAGAUGACACCACCGAGGAAUAACCUGAGCCACUAUCCACAAAGAGGAGGAGCUUGACUGGUCGGACCAAGAGGACACUAUCAAUCAAGAACUUGAGGGUGCAGCCGGUGAUGUUGUCAUCCUCUCCUCCAAGGAUGAAGAAAACGCCAGAGAGGGAUGGCAAGAGGCUGGAAUAAUCAGAGCACUUGCCUACCCUACUGUAAGUUCAGUUUAUUGAAUAUGUGUCUUAAUCUAGCGUCAGCGUCUACUGAGAUACGCAAUGCAAGCUCCAUUUCUGAAUGUUUUUACACCGUUGUAACUUAAAAUAGAUCAUACUUCACUCUUCAA